rnacentral:lncRNA from 1 species
AAGAAAGAAAGAAAAACCCGUCCAAAAUUCACUACAUAAUCUCUGUGAGCAAGAACUACCCUGGAAAAUUCUUAUUAUCGUAUCUGCCACGAACUCGAUGCAACAUGAGUAUGUAACAGUGACAGCAGAAGGAUAUCGUUAUAGAGGACAAAUGUUUGACAGCUUAAGUACCUUGUUCCGUUGGUUCAAGGAACAUUUCAGAGAUGCUAUUCCAGCAACUUGAAGCACUCCGAGAUCUGUAAACAUGAGAAGCACACCAUUCCAGCCUCACACACCAAAUAUGCUGAAUAUGAGUGUAGACAUGCAAAGGGUACCACCCCCAAUGGGCCUUAUGCAUACCCCUCACUAUCCACAGACUCCAGCAGCUUAUGCAGCUGCAGCCAUGUCGACGUAUCCCAACACAAAGGAGCUUAUAGGUACUUCAUGGUUUAAUGCAAAAUCAACGGUGAUUCUAUUAACAUAACUGAUCCUCCCGCUGAGCUAUGUAAUAUGAAGUUCAAGCAGAUGGCACUUCUACUGGUAGCUACUUUCAAAUGAGAACUGUCAAACCAAUGAACUUGCAGAUUUUCUUUUUAGCUUUGUAUCAAUUCCAUCAGCUUUAUUUUUGGCACUAGAUCAAGGUUAUUCCCUCUUAUUCAUGAUCAGAUGUUAGUUUUAAGUUUUAUAUGAUGGCAUUCUUUUUAUAUUCCCUCAGUUUUUUUUAAUGAUCAUUACCAUGGAGACUUAAUCAGUUAUAUUAUUUGAGUUGGAAAUAGGUUGUUGUUGCUAAAUCUAAAUUCUACGCUAUUUUGGCACCAAGGUGCAUCAUUUAAUUAUUUCUCCCUCUUUUAGUAAUUAUAGAACCAGAUAUUCUAUUUUAUAUUGUAGUUUGUUUUUUUCUCAAUCCUUUCAUCGUAAUCAAAUAAUCAGUGCUGUACUUACCUCUCAUUCCCAGAAAUCAGCACAAUUUUUUAUCAUAACUUCACUUUAAUUAGAUACCGAGAUAAUCCUUAGUACUUGGUGCAGAAAAGGCACUUCCUGAUUGCGGUGUUCCAAAAUCUGUGCCAACAUUCUGAUCAUUUUGGUCAUAGAGCAAAUGUAUGUGAUUCAUUGAAACUUUUACUGAUCUUUCUUUAUGAUUCUGUAGUUCUAGACGAAACAUAAGAAUAAGAAUAAACCUAAAGGUAGUGCUUCAUAAAAUUAAUUAGCAGUAAAGAUUCUGCAGCCUGUAACGGAGAAGUGUUCUUUCUACACCCAACACUUCAAUCACAACAAAUGAUCGUAUUAAAAGAGUUUCAAGAUUAGGACGGAUGAGAGGCAGAAAUUUUAAUUGCAUUGCCACAUUGCUGAGUUUCAUUUGUUCCUUAUUGUUUUGUUUAAUUUCCUCUUUCUUCAGUUGGCAAAAACAUGUUUAUAAAAUUACUUACUUAUGGGAAAUGUUUCAACUGCCUUCGGAAAAGGACCCCCACACUCCUUAUAGGACUAUAUGCCAUGUUUUGUUUGAUUUCCAGUUUUUAUCGCAUUAAACUCGUCUAUGGAUGCUGAUCAAAAGUCAUCAUUACACCAACAUUCUACGAGCCACCGUUUUUGCCAAAAAAACUGAAAGAGAUCCCUUGUUUCAGCACAUCGAGUACAGUUUGGCUUGUUUGGGUGUGUGUAAAUGACAAAGGCAAGAAAACUGAUCAGCAGCCGAGCGACAGUUGUAUUUCUGAUUUAACACGCCUUUUCUUCUCACCAUCCAAAUUAGUUUCUUUCUCUCUGGUGCUUAAUUGCCUUUAUCAGACAGAAACUUGCUGCAUUGUGAUUUCAGCUGGCCUGUCCUGGAAAUAAUCGAAACUUUCAAUUGUGGGUUAUGUCAAAAGGAUGGCUCGAAGAAAGUUAGCGCAAUGAUGACUUGGGAUCAGCAUCCAUAGAUGAAUUUAAUGCAAUAAAAAAAUUGGAAAUAGAACAAGGCACACAUUCCCAUAAAGAGGGUGCAGGGUCCAUCAGCAAUUGUUACUGAUGACAUAAUGGUCAAGUGAAAUUUUGGAACGCCACAAUACAAUUGAGCCACCAAGUCUCUCACCUCUUUGUCUGUGACAGAGCCAGGCAGAAAAGGUCAUUAGAAUGAAAACUCGAAAUUUUUUGAAAGAUACAGUGGAAAAUACUGAUCAUCAGUUCUCGAUUCUAAAUGCCUUCCAAUAUUCUUAAAAACACUUGGUCCAAAUAUAUGUAGCCGUAAUUGGCUUUAAAAUUAAUGCAACAUAUAAAUAAUAUUAUAUUUAAUCACAGCAUGAAAACAGAAUCGUUCUGAAGGCUGACAACAAUAACAAACUCCAACAGCGUUCUUCUUUUUGAACUUAUGUUUUUGCCCGACUUUGUCACAUUUUAAGUACCCAAUUUAACAAAUUUAACUUCAGGAAAUUUUUAAAUGUUAUUCCUCUCCUCUCUAGAAGCAGAUAAUAGAUAUCUUUUUACUGCGAGACCAUCUGUUUGAUAAAGAAAUGUAUGGGGUAAGAAGGAAUCAUUCUGAAAAAUCAAAAAUUUUUGUUAAAACAUUUAAUCAUAAUACAAGUAUACACAUACAAAAACUAAAAAUUAUAAGAG